rnacentral:misc_RNA from 1 species
AAACAAUAAAAAAGUUAAAUUAUUUUCACAAACAGUUGUAUAAUUAAAAUUUAUAUAAUUUACAACUGAUAAAUACCCUGCUAACUGUCACCUGCAUUAUUCAACGACUAAAUCAAACACCUGCUAUACACAAAGGCUGUUUUGAGUCAUACUUAGAAAGCAUCAAUAUGUAUUUGAUAAUAUUUUUUUUAGGAGAGAGAUUGGACCAUCGACCAUAACCAAGAAAAAAAAAAGGCAACUGAGGAAAAU